GACGAACCGAGCGAACGUUAUUCGGAAUCAUUGGGCGUAAAGAGCGCGUAGGCGGCUAGAUAAGUCCGGUGUGAAAGUCACAGGCUCAACCUGUGAAUGCCGCUGGAAACUGUCUGGCUAGAGUCCGGAAGGGGCGAGUGGAAUUCCUGGUGUAGCGGUGAAAUGCGCAGAUAUCAGGAGGAACACCAAUGGCGAAGGCAGCUCGCUGGGACGGUGCUGACGCUGAGGCGCGAAAGCGUGGGGAGCAAACAGG
rnacentral:rRNA from 1 species